GACGAACGCUGGCGGCGUGCUUAACACAUGCAAGUCGAACGGAAAGGCCCUGCUUUUGUGGGGUGCUCGAGUGGCGAACGGGUGAGUAACACGUGAGUAACCUGCCCUUGACUUUGGGAUAACUUCAGGAAACUGGGGCUAAUACCGGAUAGGAGCUCCUGCUGCAUGGUGGGGGUUGGAAAGUUUCGGCGGUUGGGGAUGGACUCGCGGCUUAUCAGCUUGUUGGUGGGGUAGUGGCUUACCAAGGCUUUGACGGGUAGCCGGCCUGAGAGGGUGACCGGCCACAUGGGGACUGAGAUACGGCCCAGACUCCUACGGGAGGCAGCAGUGGGGAAUAUUGCACAAUGGGCGGAAGCCGGAUGCAGCAACGCCGCGUGCGGGAUGACGGCCUUCGGGUUGUAAACCGCUUUCGCCUGUGACGAAGCGUGAGGGACGGUAAUGGGUAAAGAAGCACCGGCUAACUACGU
rnacentral:rRNA from 1 species